GGUGAGGGGCAGGUGGCGGGAGACGCAGGGCCUCGGGAGCCCUUAAUUAGUCCUUCAGGUCUUAGGGACCUUGGUGAAAUCGUGGCUGAUGCAAGGCGGAGCAGUGGGGGACAUGGUUUUGCUCACUUAGCAGGGGAGCAGGUGGAAGCUUAGGGAGAUUCACCACUAAUUUCAGGUUCAGGGACAGACCCAAACUUCUAACUCAAGGGAUCUUUUCUAAGCCCAAGGGAACACGUGUACUUGCCACCACUGCCACCACUUUGUCACCUGACAGACAUGGCCCAGAGACCCUCCCUCUGGAGGGAGUUCCUGAUCCUUGUGUCCCCUCUUCCCGCAGAGGGCCGGGGGCGGGGUGGGUCGGAACAGCAUGGCCACCACCUCCACAUAUAAAUUUUGGAAGGCUGCUGGACCUCACUCUGCAAGAGCAUGACUAGACACGUGAUGUUUCAGGUUCAUGUUGAUUCAGUUUUGUGUAAGCUUGUGUAGUCUCCGGACAGGUGUGGCAGGGAGGAGUUAACCCGGGCCAGCCUGGGAGGGGAAGGGCCGGUCCGGGAAGCGUAUGUCUCGCGGGAGCAGGUAGACAGGCAUGCCCAUGUCUGUGUGCCUGGGGACUUGGGAAUGGAUGGAGGUGAGACCAUGGAGCUGAGCUUUAGGCCUGGAGACAACGUGCAAGCAGACCCUUCCGUGGAGAGACCCUCACUCUCCUCACCAGCUGGCACUCGGUGGGGAAGGCAGAAAUAAUUCCCAAGGAGCGAGCCUUCUGACAAAUGUCCCGGCUGCAUCUAGACACCCAUGAGGUUUGGAGGAGUUCCCGGUCUGGAGCUGCUGGGGUGGCUCUGUACGUUAACUGAACCCCAAAGCCCCUGCGACUGCCACCUGCAUCCACUUCUUCAGUGGAAAAGAGCCAUCACGGGGCAGGGGGCGGUUCUAAGGACCAGGUUCUUAGAUGCCUGCUGUCUUCCUGAAUCUGUGGCUGACCUUCCCUGAGCUUCACGUUCUGUGAGCCCCAGGGAGGGAACAGGCUUGACACUGCUUCCUGGGAGAUGAGGAUUUAAGCUGUGCAUCCCCACAGGUGAUGGACAAUGUCAUUCCUUGGUCCUGCCCUGCUUCGGGCUCCCCUAGCAGCGUACUCACCUGUCUCAUGCCCACACCGGAGCAAACGUUUCUUUUACGUGUCUGCACUCCCCCACCUCCAUGCCACCUAGUCUGUAAGCCCUCAAAGACAGAAGCAAAUCUCACCUGUCCUUUUACCCCAAUCCUCUAGCACAGUGGCUGACUCACUGUGUUAAAUUGCUAUCUGCUGAUUGAUUAAUCAAUUGAUGGCCUGGUUUUCUAAGCCUUGGGUUGACAGCUGGGUUGAUAGAAGCCUGCUGAGGAAGAACAUCCCUAAGUUUAUCCAAGGAACGCUUAUCGCCAGGCGCCUUGCUCUGUAUCAUUCAAAAGAACUAUCUGUUAACACUUUCCUGGGUCCCAGGCACUGCAUUAGGUACACAUGGAUGUCAGGAUGAACAAGACUUUGUGCUUGUCCCCCAGGGCUGCCAGUCUCACUGCCACUAAGACCCUAACCCAGCCACCCCCACUCCUACUCCACUAUUGGAAUACGAUGUAGUUUGUCUUUGUAACAUUUGUAGCACUUAUCCCAUACAACCUCGUGUUAAAAUCACUUCCGCUGUCUGCCUGCCCGUCGAGCUGGAGAGCUGCCAAAGGAAAGGGACCUGGUUUCAAAUCGCAGCACUUCCGGGUGCUGGCCUCUCUGGGGCUGUGCGUUCCCAGCCUGUACAAGGAAGUAUUACAGCCCCCACCUCUGGGAUCACGGGGCUGAGGAUGUAAGUGUCAUCCAUGUGUCCCUCUCAAACUGGCCACCUAGAGCACCCUCCCUUCUGCCAUUCUCCUGGGCCAGCCUAUCCCUUCCUCUCCAUUCUUUUGGCAAGUAGACGCAGAGGACAGGAGGACUGUACCCAAAUCACUCUCUGCUCCAGCCACCAGUUCUCAUGUGCCCCUCCCUCAUGGGGCAGUGAGAAGACCACAAGAUGGGGGUCUGAAUAGGGUCUGAGUCUGGGCUCUGGUCACUUGCUGUGAGUCUGACCUUGGGUUAAUUGCUGACUCUCUGAGCCUCCAUUUUCAUCUGUAAAAUGGAACAAUAAUCCAUGCCUCUGGGCCACGCACAGGUUAAAUGAAAGAGUGUGUGCAGAGCUCCCCCACAGUGCAUGGCCCUUGUCAGGACUUACCACCGCGGCCCGCUUCUGAGGCUCAGCUUUGAACAAGGAAGAGGUGCCUUCGGCAGCAGACACCUCCAUUCUAAUUCUCUACAAAGACACGGAUGCGAGAGGAAAAAGAAAAUCUGUAGGUCCACAGUGGAGCCCACUGCUGAAAGCUGGUGACAGCCAGGGAGGGCAUUGGCUGGGGCUCAGGCUGAUGGUGGGAGAGGCUUGGAGGACCGACCAUGGUCUCCUGGGGAGGGCGCCCCUCGCCCCCGAACAGGGAGAGAGGGAAGCAGUCGCGGAGGCAGACACGGGAGCCCAGCUGUAUGGGCAGCAGCCAACACAGUCAUCUCCGAAGAAAGGCAGAGUGGCUGCAGCACAAAACUGCUUUUAUUGGCUUUUUAUCAGGCCCCAUCCCGUCCACCUGAGGCACUGGACUGCCCGCCAUCGGAUGAGUAUGCCUGUGUCUGUCUUCCCACCGCCAAUCCAUCCCCCUCUCGCCCGCUGGACUAACCUCUGGAACCAGAGCCAAUUAGGCCACUUCCCCCUCUCUCGGAAUAAAACAAACAGGCCACUUCACUCAUCCAUAGCUCUCCAUCAGAGUUUAAAUCUCCAAACAUAUAAAUCCGGUCACAACUGGCCCCGACCUACAGAAUUUCUCUCCUCCCCUCCCUGCCACGCCUGACGCCAGCCACACGGGGCCACUCACGCUGCUUGGCGUGAGCUCAGUGUUUGCUGUACCAAGAAUAUUUUUUUCUACUGAGCUGAUGCGUCUCCAUCCUCAAUACUCUGCUCGGUGGUCCUUUCCUGGGUGAGCCCUUCCCUGCUCAUCCCUGGGCAUACCUUACCCGUGCUUCCUGCAGACCUACCCCCGCCACUCACUACCCACGCGACCUCGAACUGGCUCCUUAUCAGCUUUAUGACUCAGUUUCCUCGCCUGCAACAUUUGGUGACUGUGAGGACUAAAUGAGUUAAUACAGUCAAGUGCUUAAAACAGUGCCUGGCCCACAGGAAACACUUACUAAAUGUCAACUAUUGUUAUCCUCAUUUUAAUCAAUGCUAUGAAUAUAGUGCAUAGCACACUGUACAGGAACUCUUGGCUCACCUGUCUCUUUGAGUAGAACCUGAACUCCUUACCAGCAACUCCUCACAUCCAAGCAGUGCCUGCCAGAGAGUG